rnacentral:tRNA from 1 species
GGAGGGAUGGCUGAGUGGUCGAAAGCGCACGACUCGAAAUCGUGUAGACCCUCUGGGUCUCGAGGGUUCGAAUCCCUCUCCCUCCGCCA